UACGGGGGGGGCAAGCGUUGUUCGGAAUUACUGGGCGUAAAGGGCUCGUAGGUGGCCAACUAAGUCAGACGUGAAAUCCCCAGGCUCAACUUGGGAACUGCGUCUGAUACUGGAUGGCUUGAAUUCGGGAGAGGGAUGCAGAAUUCCAGGUGUAGCGGUGAAAUGCGUAGAUAUCUGGAGGAAUACCGGUGGCGAAGGCGGCAUCCUGGACCGAUAUUGACACUGAUGAGCGAAAGCUAGGGGAGCAAACGGG
rnacentral:rRNA from 1 species